UGAUCAUGUGAAAGGUUUGGUAAAAUUUAAAAUUUGAAACCGUUUAAAUUGAAAGUGAAAAAUUUGAUUGACUUGCACGAAAAGCCAAUUUUUACCAUUAAUUUAAUCAAGUUAAUCAAUAUUAAACCAUUGACCAUUAGUAUUUUACUUGCUUGUAAUCAACAUUGUUCCAGUUUUACUUUGAUAUGCUUUGUUUUCACUCUCAACCAGCUAUAAACUCCAUUCUGUCUUCAACUCUCUCUCUCUCUGUAAGUUACAAAUUGCGUGAACAAAACUGCUAAACUGUUAACCCAAAAUCUUUUGGGUUUAAUCAAAGGUACUUUUGAUGAUGAUGAUGAUUUUUUCAGUUCACCUUCUUACUCAUCUCAUCCUUAUAACCAAUCUUCAUCUGACCAUUUGAUAAAUUUGAUUAUGAUUUGACUCCACCUUGAAAAUGGUUCUUCAUUUUUCUUCUUCUCCUUCAAUUUUUCCUGAUUUUUUGAUUCCUCAUCAUCAUCAUUUACACAAGCCUACAGUUUCAUGGGAAAGCAACAAUUUAUCAGCUGAUUGCGUGAUUAGUGAAUCACAAGCAAGUCACAAUUAAACCUCACCUAUGUAUACAUAAUAUUUAAUCAAAUCAGUCAAGAACCCGAAAUGGAAAAGGAAAAGUGAAAAGUACAAAUUAUAACUAAGGAUACGAGCUUUUGGCUGAAGGAAAGCAAAGAAACGAUUUGAAUACGAUGUAACCUUAUGCAAACAAAACGAGGCUAAAAAAUGAUGGAAAAAUAUUACAUUUUCAAUGGAAAGAAGCUAAAUGGGAAUCAAAAAACGUUUAGCAAGAUCAACAGUGAUUUAAGCUGUUUUUUAAAGGAUUAACUUGGAUUAAGAGGAGCGCUUUUUUGUGAUGAGUCUCAUUGGGAACCAGAAAUAUUUACAAGAGGCCAACAACAAGGCAAUUGAAGAAGGAAAAAACGGAAUUGUAAAAUAAAAAGGAUCCCCAAAAAAUAGAGAAGAGGAAAAGAUGAUUACAAGCUUGAAUCUGAACGGAUAUUGAUGUUUAAAACUCGAUUCAACUGUAACAAAGAUUAGGCUGGAUAACGAAACUGGUCUUUCAGUUGUCAGUGUGAUAAAAGGACGGCGACAACAACGUUAAUCCAAGGAGGAUGUUGAACAUGCAAAUGUCUCUCCAAGAGGCUUGUUAAUAUUGUCAACAAAGGUGCUGUUGUUAUUGUUUACGGUGGUUUGGAAUCCGAUUCAAGAUGUGGUUCCUCCUCUUCACCCACACUUGGGUUAAUUGUGACAGAAGAAGAAAUUAUCUAAAAAAACUUAAUUUCUAAAAUCAAUGGAGUGAAUGGCAAAGUUGCUUAUCAUUAGGCCUUAUAAUCAUCAGCUUCAUCAGCAUCAUGAUUAUCCUCUCUUAUGUGCUGUUUAUGUUUUUCAUUUAUCUAUUUGAUGGUCCAUUGACUUAAUCAAUCAACCUUAAAUUGUAUCAUUAUUAUUUACCUUUGCUUUCUAAAAAGGAAAAGGAGAAAAGGGAAAAACAAAAAAGCUGUUGGCUGCCAAAAACGCUCAUUUUCACCUCUAACCAACACAGUGGAAAGAUGUGUUGUUGAUGAUUACACUGAUGGAAGGAGAAACAAAAUUUGCAUCCAAAGAGUAUCAUCAAAAUAGCUGUAAAAUGAUGAUGCAGGAUGGCAAAAGGAGAAAGUUUCAUCUCAACCAUAAUUUUAAUUUACAUUCUAUGGAUAAAAAGAACGAGAAAUUUAAUAUGGAAAACGCCACAAUGAUGAUAAGGAUGAGGAAAAUGUUUCAAUGGUAAAGCAAGGAAUACAAAGACGAUAAGAAUAUAGCUAAUUUGGUGAAACUAAUUUGCUGUUUAAUCGGCCUGCAGAUUGUUCAAUAUUUAAUCUAUCCGUUCAUUUGGAAAUCAAAUUUUCAAACCGAGCAGAGGAUGAAAAGAAAGAUGAUGAACAAGGAUGAGGGAGUGAGAGUUGAAAAAAAGAUGAAACCUGAAAACGCAAAUAAUGUCAUUAUUUUUGCAAAGCUUCAUUCGCUUUGCUGUAACCUUUCCAACUAUUCAAAUCUAAUGGUUGGCAAAAAAGGUCGAAUGACCUGGGUCAACUUGGAACGUCGUUUAAAUGGCUUUCAAAGAUGGGAUGAAGCAAAAAAUGCAAGGAAAUGCAAACAAACGCCGUAAAAAAAAGUACAAAGAGUCGAAAGUUGCUGUUAAAUGAAUUAUAAUAUUUUGCCAUCGACAGUCAACUGUAUUUACUCAACCAUAAACUAGUUACCUAAACAACAAGAGUCAAUAUUAAAUGUUGAAGAGAGUAAAAUGUUUCAAUGUAAUCAAUCUAGAGAAAAGCAAAGACGAAGAAUCUAUUCCAAUAACAUUCCUUAAUGUAAAAUAUAAUAUAUAACAGGGAAGGGAAAAAUUUUACAGUCAGUAUCAAAAAAAAAAGAGGAGACAGGAGAAGAAGUAGAUUGAAGAGUAAAAUCAUUGAACCAUUUUGCUGCUCUUGGGUCAAUAUAAUGGCCCUUUUUUUGCUGACUACUCACCAUCACCAUACAACCUUUAAGGUACCAAAUACGAUGACAAUUUACAUUACCAAGUUAUCGAUGUAAAUAUGUGUCAACUCUUAUUGUUAUUAUCACCAUUAUUAUUAACAUUAUCAUCAUUAAUAUAACUGGGAUUUUGCUUCUCAAUACAAAUUUUGCUGUUUCCUUUUCAAA